rnacentral:ribozyme from 13 species
UUUUUUUUUUUUUUUUUUUUUUUUUUUUCCCCUUGGCACCGACGGAUGGUUGGACUCUUGGACAAUCGAAGCGGGGGUCACAGAACGGCCCGAAAAUAAGAAAA